CCUACGGGAGGCAGCAGUGGGGAAUAUUGCACAAUGGGGGAAACCCUGACGCAGCGACGCCGCGUGAGGGAUGAAGUACUUCGGUAUAUAAAGCUCUAUCAGCAGGGAAGAACAUGCCUGUACCUGAUUAGCAAGCACCUGCUAACUACGUGCCAGCAGCCGCGGUCAUACGUAGGGGGCAAGCGCUAACCGGAUUUACUGGGUGGAAAGGGCGCGUAGACGGCAGCACAUGUCGGGGGUGAAUUGCCUGGGCUUAACCCCGGAACUGCUUUGGAAACUGUCCAGCUAGAGUGCCUGAGAGGUAAGUGGAAUUCCUAGUGUAGCGGUGAAAUGCGUAGAUAUUAGGAGGAACACCAGUGGCGAAGGCGGCUUACUGGAAUAUAACUGACGCUGAGGCGCGAAAGCGUGGGGAGCAAACAGGAUUAGAUACCCGUGUAGUC
rnacentral:rRNA from 1 species